UGCAAGUCGAACGGCAGCGCGGGAGCAAUCCUGGCGGCGAGUGGCGAACGGGUGAGUAAUACAUCGGAACGUGCCCAAUCGUGGGGGAUAACGCAGCGAAAGCUGUGCUAAUACCGCAUACGAUCUACGGAUGAAAGCAGGGGAUCGCAAGACCUUGCGCGAAUGGAGCGGCCGAUGGCAGAUUAGGUAGUUGGUGAGGUAAAGGCUCACCAAGCCUUCGAUCUGUAGCUGGUCUGAGAGGACGACCAGCCACACUGGGACUGAGACACGGCCCAGACUCCUACGGGAGGCAGCAGUGGGGAAUUUUGGACAAUGGGCGAAAGCCUGAUCCAGCCAUGCCGCGUGCAGGAUGAAGGCCUUCGGGUUGUAAACUGCUUUUGUACGGAACGAAACGGCCUUUUCUAAUAAAGAGGGCUAAUGACGGUACCGUAAGAAUAAGCACCGGCUAACUACGUGCCAGCAGCCGCGGUAAUACGUAGGGUGCAAGCGUUAAUCGGAAUUACUGGGCGUAAAGCGUGCGCAGGCGGUUAUGUAAGACAGUUGUGAAAUCCCCGGGCUCAACCUGGGAACUGCAUCUGUGACUGCAUAGCUAGAGUACGG
rnacentral:rRNA from 1 species